CGAAGGGUGCAAGCGUUAAUCGGAAUUACUGGGCGUAAAGCGCGCGUAGGUGGUUAAGUCAGCGAUCUGUGAAAGCCCCGGGCUUAACCUGGGAACUGCAGGUCGAACUGCUUGGCUAGAGUAUGGUAGAGGGGUGUGGAAUUUCCUGUGUAGCGGUGAAAUGCGUAGAUAUAGGAAGGAACAUCAGUGGCGAAGGCGACACCCUGGACCGAUACUGACACUGAGGCGCGAAAGCGUGGGUAGCGAACAGGAUU
rnacentral:rRNA from 1 species